GCAUAUCAAUAAGCGGAGGAAAAGAAACUAACAAGGAUUCCCCUAGUAGCGGCGAGCGAAGCGGGAAGAGCUCAAAUUUAUAAUCUGGCACCUUCGGUGUCCGAGUUGUAAUCUCUAGAAAUGUUUUCCGCGUUGGACCGCACACAAGUCUGUUGGAAUACAGCGGCAUAGUGGUGAGACCCCCGUAUAUGGUGCGGACGCCCAGCGCUUUGUGAUACAUUUUCGAAGAGUCGAGUUGUUUGGGAAUGCAGCUCAAAUUGGGUGGUAAAUUCCAUCUAAAGCUAAAUAUUGGCGAGAGACCGAUAGCGAACAAGUACCGUGAGGGAAAGAUGAAAAGCACUUUGGAAAGAGAGUUAACAGUACGUGAAAUUGUUGGAAGGGAAACGCUUGAAGUCAGACUUGCUUGCCGAGCAAUCGGUUUGCAGGCCAGCAUCAGUUUUCCGGGAUGGAUAAUGGUAGAGAGAAGGUAGCAGUUUCGGCUGUGUUAUAGCUCUCUGCUGGAUACAUCUUGGGGGACUGAGGAACGCAGUGUGCCUUUGGCGGGGGUUUCGACCUCUCACACUAGGAUGCUGGAACCU
rnacentral:rRNA from 1 species